rnacentral:rRNA from 1 species
ACAUCUCUCCAAAUUAAACUGUAAACUCACUGCAUAUUCCAAUCAAAAUCCCAUCAAGGAAGCUAAGCAGGGUCGAGCCCGGUUAGUCCUUGGAUGGGAGACCGCCUAGGAAGACCAGGUGCCGCAGGCG